rnacentral:rRNA from 1 species
CCUACGGGGGGCUGCAGUGAGGAAUAUUGGUCAAUGGACGAGAGUCUGAACCAGCCAAGUCGCGUGAAGGAUGACUGCCCUAUGGGUUGUAAACUUCUUUUAUAUGGGAAUAAAAUGUUCCACGUGUGGGAUUUUGUAUGUACCAUAUGAAUAAGGAUCGGCUAACUCCGUGCCAGCAGCCGCGGUAAUACGGAGGAUCCGAGCGUUAUCCGGAUUUAUUGGGUUUAAAGGGAGCGUAGGUGGAUUGUUAAGUCAGUUGUGAAAGUUUGCGGCUCAACCGUAAAAUUGCAGUUGAAACUGGCAGUCUUGAGUACAGUAGAGGUGGGCGGAAUUCGUGGUGUAGCGGUGAAAUGCUUAGAUAUCACGAAGAACUCCGAUUGCGAAGGCAGUUCACUGGACUGCAACUGACACUGAGGCUCGAAAGUGUGGGUAUCAAACAGGAUUAGAUACCCGAGUAGUC